UAUGUCGUGAAUUACUACCAGCUUUCCUCUUGGAGCCCACAGCUGGAUAACGCAAGCUGGGACACAGCAUUUCAAAUGUUGGGGUAGCUUUCCCUGAAACGCUAUUUCUAGUGAUGGUUCGUCAGGUUCCCAGGCUAGCCCACUGGACCUGCGUGCUGGUGCUGAGGUCCUCACCCGGGUUUCCAAGGGAACAGUUUCAGGACCUCUAGGACUCGGUGACCUACGUAGCUCUACGUGUCUGAUUUCCCUUAAAAUCGGUCAUCUUUCUUUUUCUUUGAUUCAGGCUUACCACCAGCGCUACUUUUCCUAGAAUGGAUUUGCUUAUGGGCGUGCCAAUGGAUCCGAAAGGGAAGUGGUCUGAGAACUUCGGUGCAAAAAAUGUUACAUUAACAUUUGUUUUCCCAACUCAAACCUCCACUACUUCCCACAGUUUGUCUAGAAAUUCAGCCCACUUUAGAGCUCCUUUUUCUCGUUUAGGCUAUACCAGCCCCUCAGGGGCUUAUGGAGUCCAAGAAAAUUGAAGGAGGGCCUCACAUCUGGACUGCUGUUUUUUCCUUAACAUGUUCAGCCACCUCUGAGGCAUUGCGUUCCAUCAAGGUCCAGGAGUCCACCAGCCACAGCUACCCACCACACCACCCCUCAACCCCAGGCUUGGAAGAGCUGACCCUUCCUCACCAGUGUCAGGCUACCUCUUCUUCUUGAAGCAUCAGCCACCAUCCUUUCCAUCUUUCAAGGAACUCCAGCUUAAUUUCUUGAUGGCCUUGUCCUUCUAAAACAAAGGCUGUUCCCUCUUCCUAGAAUCUUCUUUUCCCACUCCCUCCAUAGUAACUCUGCUCAUCCUUCCAGUCUCAGCUCAGUUGUCGCUUUUUCAAGGAAGACUUCUCUGACCGCCGUUCCUUGUCUCUGACACAGGCUCUUACAAUCCCAUAGCAGUUAUCCCAGCGAAGAUUUCAAAUGUAUUUCUGUUUAUUUGAUUAAAUUUUCUCUCCCUCACCAGGCUGUAAGCUCCCAGAAGCUGACCCUUUUGUCUCUGUUUGCUCACCAUGACAUUGCUAGUCCCUUGCAGUGAUUGACAGAAGAUGCUGAAUUUAUUAAUUCAUUUAAUUCGGAUUAAAUGAAUGAAUGAAUAACCUCACAGGAAAAGCAGCCCAGAACUCAGAGGAUAAAUGGCUUGGCUAUCUUUACCAAAAUGAGGAAGCAGCAUAUUAC
rnacentral:lncRNA from 1 species